CAUUCCAUUGGGCCCGCCCCACUACAGGCGAGGCCCUCACGUUCAAGGGCGUUGUUCCCUCCACCUCCUCAUUUUCUCCCUCUACCUCCCCAACUUUCAGUUUCUUUCUUUUUAUUACAACAUUAUCCUUUUUCUUUACUUUUUUAUCCUUUUUAUUAUUUUUUUUUUACUUUUAAUGUUAUUUAAGAGGGUAACCACUGAACCCUAAUUUUUACUCUCUUCAGAGCCGUACCUCCCCCUUAGUUUUAUUCUGCUGACAGCCCACCUCCCCCAAAUUUUAAGUUUCGCCUCUUCUUCUUCCACAUUCGUGACUUUUUUUUUUCUCUUGUUGACUUCUCUUUCAAACACUUUAAACUCUAACUUUGCUUUCCAUAGUGGUUUGGUGCGGUGGUGUUGGGGUUUCGGUGGUAGUGGUGGGCAUUGGUGGUGCGUGGUGUAGUGGUGUUUCUGCACAACACAUGUCUUCCCAUGAACAACGUCUCUGAAGCUGCAUAUGGGGCUGCAAGUUUGAGUACCCUUUUGAAGGGUCAUGAACCCUCGACCCUUCCAUCUACUUGAAGGUUAAGAGGUUUUUUAUUUGAU
rnacentral:lncRNA from 1 species